rnacentral:rRNA from 1 species
UACGUAGGGGGCUAGCGUUGUCCGGAAUCAUUGGGCGUAAAGCGCGUGUAGGCGGUCCGGUAAGUCCGCUGUGAAAGUCGGGGGCUCAACCCUCGAAUGCCGGUGGAUACUGUCGGGCUAGAGUGCGGAAGAGGCGAGUGGAAUUCCUGGUGUAGCGGUGAAAUGCGCAGAUAUCAGGAGGAACACCUAUUGCGAAGGCAGCGCGCUGGGACGUAACUGACGCUGAGACGCGAAAGCGUGGGGAGCGAACAGG